CUUCUCUUUGGCAAUUUUAAACGUAAAAUUUUCAUCUUCUUUUCCGUCUCUCGCCCAUCUAUCUCCUCUCCUUCUCCACUCUCUCUUUGUCGACGACAUAGCCGCUUGCCACCGUUGCGAGAAGUAGCCAAUACCCAUCAUUGUUGUCGUGUGCCACCACCGCCUUUGCUCUAUCUUCUCCAUUCUCUAUUUGUUAACGAUGACAAUGGCCUUUUUCAGUCGCCUUUAGCAGCUCAAAAGGACACCACGCUGCUCACAAGCUGUGUCCUUGCAAGCUGCUAGGAACUCCGAUAAAGCAGCUGAUUGGAGAAGCCACUAUAAAAUGUUGGUGAUUAUUGUGAGUUUGGGGGUUUUGUUGGUGGGGUAGUGGCUGUGGCGUGGAAGAGUUGUAUAAGAUAGUGGAUUCUAGCAAACGAUUGUGGUGGUUGAUUGGAGUUGCAAAUGAAGGUGGAGGUGAUUGUUGAAGCAGGCGAUUAUGGGUGUAGGAUGUGAUGGUGCAGCAGUUCUUCUAUAUCGCACGGUCGCACGUCUAGUAGCGGAGUCACGAUUGUGGGCUGUAGUAUGUAGAUUUGAUAAGGCUGUGGUAAUGAUUAGUGAUGGCGACAGUAGCAGUGGGUUUGGAGAUUUUUUUGGUGGGUGUGAAGUGAUGGAGAUUGCGGUUGUGGUUUUUGGUACAGGAGGUGGUGUUGCUGUUGAUAAGUGUAUUUAUUACACUUAUCUGAGUCGUUAAAUUAGAGCAAUUAUUGUUAUUUUAAAUGAAUUGAGAUGAAAUAUUUUACUAUUUAUUUUUAAUUCAAGAC
rnacentral:lncRNA from 1 species